rnacentral:rRNA from 1 species
UACAGAGGGUGCAAGCGUUAAUCGGAAUUACUGGGCGUAAAGCGUGCGUAGGCGGCGGGGUAAGUCGGGUGUGAAAUCUCAGGGCUCAACCCUGAAACUGCACUUGAUACUGCUCUGCUUGAGGACUGGAGAGGAGACUGGAAUUCACGGUGUAGCAGUGAAAUGCGUAGAUAUCGUGAGGAAGACCAGUGGCGAAGGCGGGUCUCUGGACAGUUCCUGACGCUGAGGCGCGAAGGCCAGGGGAGCAAACGGG